rnacentral:pre_miRNA from 1 species
GUAGUACUCCCUCCGUCCGAAAAUACUUGUCAUCAAAAUGGAUGAAAAGAGAUGUAUCUAGAACUAAAAUACGUCUAGAUACAUCCCCUUUUAUCCAUUUUGAUGACAAGUAUUUCCGGACGGAGGGAGUACAAG